rnacentral:ncRNA from 1 species
AUUGCCUUUGAUAAUUUGAAGCUCUACGUUAAUACGUAGAAGGUUAGUAGAAUUAUCAGGGGCUUU